ACAUGCUUACAACAUAGCAUUAAUGCACUAGAUCCCAUUAGAACUCCACAGUUAAGAACACUCGAGCUAGAGUAGUACUCGGAUGGGUGAUCGCCCUCAGAGUCCUAGUUUUUACAUGCC
rnacentral:rRNA from 1 species